UAUCCAGUGGUGGAAUGGUAUCACACCUGCACAAUAUAUUGAAGUUGAAACACAUUAUACAGGAUAUUCCUGUUCGAUUCAGGGCUGGAUUA